rnacentral:rRNA from 1 species
AUUGAACGCUGGCGGCAUGCCUUACACAUGCAAGUCGAACGGCAGCACGGGGCAACCUGGUGGCGAGUGGCGAACGGGUGAGUAAUGCAUCGGAACGUACCUUUCAGUGGGGGAUAACGUAGCGAAAGUUACGCUAAUACCGCAUAUUCUGUGAGCAGGAAAGCAGGGGAUCGCAAGACCUUGCGCUGAUUGAGCGGCCGAUGUCAGAUUAGCUAGUUGGUGAGGUAAAGGCUCACCAAGGCGACGAUCUGUAGCGGGUCUGAGAGGAUGAUCCGCCACACCGGAACUGAGACACGGUCCAGACUCCUACGGGAGGCAGCAGUGGGGAAUUUUGGACAAUGGGGGCAACCCUGAUCCAGCCAUGCCGCGUGAGUGAAGAAGGCCUUCGGGUUGUAAAGCUCUUUCGGCCGGGAAGAAAUCGCACGGGCUAAUACCCUGUGUGGAUGACGGUACCGGAAUAAGGAGCACCGGCUAACUACGUGCCAGCCGCCGCGGUAAAAC